GCGCUCGUAGCUCAGCUGGAUAGAGCAGUGGACUUCUAAUCCACCGGUCGCAGGUUCGAGUCCUGCCGGGCGCACCA
rnacentral:tRNA from 1 species